ACCUGGCUGGUUCAGUCGGUGGAACAUGUGACCCUUGAUCUCAGGGUUGUGAGUUCAAGCCCCACGUUGGGUG
rnacentral:tRNA from 1 species